GGGGGCGAAACGGCUUCGACGGGGAUCGUGAAGCCGGGGUUGCACGCCGAGGUCCCACAUACCUCGUAAAACCGUGGACUUAAACUCAAGUGCCAACGAUAACGUUGCACUGGCUGCGUAAAAACUCGUAGCCCGUCCGCCGCUUCCUCCUCCCGCUGGAAGCGGGCCGGGCGCCGAUUCGCGGGAUGGUCAUUGGAUCUGCCUGGU
rnacentral:tmRNA from 1 species